rnacentral:rRNA from 1 species
GGAAUAUUGGACAAUGGGCGCAAGCCUGAUCCAGCCAUGCCGCGUGGGUGAAGAAGGCCUUCGGGUUGUAAAGCCCUUUUGUUGGGAAAGAAAAGCAGUCGGUUAAUACCCGAUUGUUCUGACGGUACCCAAAGAAUAAGCACCGGCUAACUUCGUGCCAGCAGCCGCGGUAAUACGAAGGGUGCAAGCGUUACUCGGAAUUACUGGGCGUAAAGCGUGCGUAGGUGGUUGUUUAAGUCCGUUGUGAAAGCCCUGGGCUCAACCUGGGAAUUGCAGUGGAUACUGGGCAACUAGAGUGUGGUAGAGGAUGGCGGAAUUCCCGGUGUAGCAGUGAAAUGCGUAGAGAUCGGGAGGAACAUCUGUGGCGAAGGCGGCCAUCUGGACCAACACUGACACUGAGGCACGAAAGCGUGGGGAGCAAACA